rnacentral:tmRNA from 1 species
GGGGGCGCACUGGUUUCGACGGGGACUCUGAAGUAUGGUAAGCGAGCAGAGGCGCUCGACCUCUAUAAAACGGGCAACUUAAAAAGAAACGAUAACAAUAGUUACGCGUUUGCAGCCUAAUUAGGCUGCCGUCCGGCCGAUGAGGACCACGGCAUCGGUUCGGGCGUCGAUUAGUGGUGAACGAUCAUGGGGAGCGCUUCCGCCCCAUGAUUGUAUUGGAAGCUACUGAGCCGGGCAGUCCGCCGCUCGACGGUCCGGCGAGGGAAUGUAAAUUUGCGGCUAUGCUCGUAGAAAGCCAUAGGGAUGGGUUUUCGGACGCGGGUUCGAUUCCCGCCGCCUCCACCA